AAAUUUUUCCGGUUCCGGCAGCACCCCAUGCCAGUUCCUCUCCCUUCUCCUCAUAUUCUCCUCCUCCAUUUUUCACACAAAAAACAAGUUCAGGUAAUGGGUCAUCUUGUGGGAUGAGAUUGCCUCCAACAUACCCAUAUUCUUCUCUAAUCUUGAACUUUGAAGGGGUUGUUAUUGCUGCUGGUUUGGCAAGUUUUGUGGUUCAGUUUCUUCUGGUCACUGGAAAUUGAUGGUGCUAUGUGGGUCUUAUCUACAAGGUGGAUAUCCUGAGCCAGAUGUCUUUGAUGCAUCUAAUGGAUUGUGAAGUCCAGGCUAACGUUUGUCUGUGGUUUGUGUUGGAUGGUGUCUUAGCUUCUGUUAUGUUUGUGCCUUUCAUUGUUCACAAUGCUUUUGUUAGUUCUGCUUUAGGUUGAUGAUUUGUUUGUUAGUGUUUCUGUUGUUCGGUUUGUUACCGUCUUGUACUUGGGAUGUACUGUUCCCUCUUGUAUUUCCAUGUUUAUUGAAAUGAAAUAUGAUGUUCUUUUU